rnacentral:misc_RNA from 1 species
GAUGAAGAACGUAGCGAAAUGCGAUAAGUAAUGUGAAUUGCAGAAUUCAGUGAAUCAUCGAAUCUUUGAACGCACAUUGCGCCCGCCAGUAUUCUGGCGGGCAUGCCUGUCCGAGCGUCAUUUCAACCCUCGAACCCCUCCGGGGGGUCGGCGUUGGGGACCUCGGGAGCCCCUAAGACGGGAUCCCGGCCCCGAAAUACAGUGGCGGUCUCGCCGCAGCCUCUCCUGCGCAGUAGUUUGCACAACUCGCACCGGGAGCGCGGCGCGUCCACGUCCGUAAAACACCCAACUUCUGAAAUGUUGACCUCGGAUCAGGUAGGAAUACCCGCUGAACUUAAGCAUAUCAAUAAGCAGGA